AGGCUCAAUUCCCAAUACGUUCUGCUGCUGCGUGCAUCCCACGUUUCUCUACUUAUAUACGGUCCGUAUACAUGUAUACAUGAUAUACGGAGAGAAUGAACUCACGGCGAAACAGGAGGGCUGCGGAAGGUUGGAUAGAAAUGUAGUCUCUCUACCCCUGUCUUAUCACCCACUUUGUUUGUUUACGGGCGGACAUGGUAGAAAGAUCGGAGGGAACACGAAAAAGCGUGCUAUCAGGACAUGUGAAUGGGGUCAGACGCAUCUAUACAACCCGCUUCCCAAGAUGGCCUUUCAAGAUUUGAGCCUGCUGUUAUUAAUAUGGAGCGGUUUGUGAAGGAAGAAGAAGAAGAAGAGGAGGAAGGGAGAGCAGGGGAGAUGUGAUGGGGACGCUUUGUUGCCCACCUCAUUCGAUCGACAUACGAUUUUCCUUCCCCUUGGUCUCUUCAUCUGCUCGUACAUAUUGAAUACUCGAACGCUUGGUGUUCUCAUAUGUUGUGGAUGCAUAUGGAUGUGCAUGGAUUCUGAGUGUGUUUCUUGUUUCUUUUGUGUUGCUGUUUUGUCUCAGAUUACGAGUAGUUCAGCUUAGAGAUUAGGAGGGAUUUUUUGGGUUGGAGGUGGAGCUCCUUGAAGUCCAAAGGAGGGUCUUGGUUGGGUGGAUUGAGCUGCUGGUUUAUGGAUUCCACUGCCCUAUUCCAUGUUUUCUUUGCUAUAGUUGAUGACAAAGAUGGUGAAUGUUUUGGGAUAGGCUUGUGGUUUGCAUAACUCAGGAGCUGCAUCAACCCACCCUGACCUUUAUUUGGAUUGAAGGGAGCUCUACAUCUGUUUACUCCAACUUUCUGUUCUUGUUUUCAUUUCUCUGUCUUGUUUCAGAAUCACAACCCUCUCUCUGUCUCUCUCUCUCUCUCUCUCUCUCUGCUGCUUUCUUGAUUAUUGCCCAGAUUUUGAUGAGGGUUUGCAUCAUAUGAAGGGGUUUUCUGCCUACUUUAUUUGGAUCGUAUUAUUCUUUGGCAAUAUACUGGAUAUUAUUACAUCUUAAAUAACAGCAGCAGUGUAAAAUCUUUCUUUGUGUGUGUCUAUCAUAAGGAUUUAUUAUACAGCUUUUGCAGGGUUCAAUGCAUGUUUUGGUGCAGAUCAACUACAGCAAUGACAUCAGAAUCACUCUGUAAAGUGAUCUCAGGAUCUACACAUGCUCUCUUUCCAACUGCCCAACACUAUGUUAUCUGAUGACAUGAUUCUUAUCUUAUUGUGUUUUCAGAGAUUAAUUAAUCAGGUUCUGAAGAAAGAUAAUGAAGCAGGUCAUGAAUUGCUGCGCCAAUGGAGUGCAAGUCGUUGGUCAUCAACGAUGUGGAGCUUCCAUAGUUGAGAUCAUCUUCGGUGUCCCUUUGUCUUCUAUUAAAGCUUCGACUGUGAAUGGGUCCACCAUUUGUAUUUUAAUUGGAUAAUCACGGCAGCCUCGAUCUAUUGUUUUAAUGUUCCGAUAAAUACAGAUGGAAUCUACAAGACAAGCAGAUGAAGUUAUGCCCUCCACUUGCAUGCUUAUCUUGAAGUAGAGGAUGUUCCGGAAUUGCUUGUUGCUUUCAUCUCUUGUCCUUGGACGACAAUGAUAGAAUCUGAAAUGGACUCUGUGAAGAUAAAAUGUCUUCUAUAAUACAAUCGGCGGCAUUAAAAAUAUGAUUUAUUGAGGUUGGUGAGAUGGGACCAAAAUUUCUCGGCAGUGUUUCAUGGUCUAGAAAACUAUACUUCAUCAACUGAGUUGGGUCUGAGAGAGAGGUGACAGUGUUUCAGCUCUGAGAUGAGGUGACAUAAUAUUUGGUCGAUGCAUCUGUUGUCCUCUAAAACUUACCAAUACACGUUAUUUUUAUGUGAUUUUUUCA